UACGGAGGGUGCAAGCGUUAAUCGGAAUUACUGGGCGUAAAGCGCACGCAGGUGGCUGAGUCAGUCGAUUGUGAAAGCCCUGGGCUUAACCUGGGAAUUGCAGUCGAUACUACUCAGCUAGAGUAUGGGAGAGGGAUGCAGAAUUCCGGGUGUAGCGGUGGAAUGCGUAGAGAUCCGGAGGAAGACCGGUGGCGAAGGCGGCCUGCUGGGCAGAUACUGACACUGAGGCGCGACAGCGUGGGGAGCAAACAGG
rnacentral:rRNA from 1 species